UAUUGCGCAAUGGAGGGAACCCUGACGCAGCAACGCCGCGCGAAGGAAGAAGGCUUUCGGGUUGUAUACUUCUUUGAUCGGGGACGAAGAUGACGGUACCCGAGGAACAAGCCACGGUUAACUAUGUGCCAGCAGCCGCGCUAAUACGUAGGUUGCGCGCGUUGUCCGGAAUUACUGGGCGUAAAGGGCGUGUUGACGGGGAGGCAAGUCAGAUGUGAAAUCCCGAGGCUCAACUUCGGAGCUGCAUCUGAAACUGUUUUUCUUGAGUACUGGGGAGGAAAGUGAAAUUCCUAGGGUAGCGGUGAAAUGCGUAGAGAUUAGGAGGAACACCAGUGGCGAAGGCGACUUUCUGGACUGUAACUGACGCUGAGGUACAAAAGCGUGGGUAGCGAAC
rnacentral:rRNA from 1 species